GUGGAUUAGAUACCCUGGUAGUCCACGCCGUAAACGGUGGGUACUAGGUGUGGGUUUCCUUCCUUGGGAUCCGUGCCGUAGCUAACGCAUUAAGUACCCCGCCUGGGGAGUACGGCCGCAAGGCUAAAACUCAAAGGAAUUGACGGGGGCCCGCACAAGCGGCGGAGCAUGUGGAUUAAUUCGAUGCAACGCGAAGAACCUUACCUGGGUUUGACAUGCACAGGACGCCGGCAGAGAUGUCGGUUCCCUUGUGGCCUGUGUGCAGGUGGUGCACGGCCGUCGUCAACU
rnacentral:rRNA from 1 species